rnacentral:rRNA from 1 species
UGUCCUCUAAAUAAGGACCCGUAUGAAUGGCAACAUGAGAAAGAAACUGUCUCUUUAGGCUGGCCAAUGAACCUGACCUGCUUGUACAAACGCAAGCAUAAAAAAACAAGACAAAAAGACCCUGUGAAACUUAAAGUGUAAGGCAAAAGAUUGUCCAAUACAUUUUCGGUUGGGGCAACCAAAGAGAAACAAAAACCUCUAUAAAAGUAUGAGGCAAACAAGCCAACUACACCCACAUUAGACCCAGCACCGCUGAUUAUAGAACAAAGCUACUCCAGGGAUAACAGCGCCACAUUCUUGAAGAGUCCAUAUCAACAAGAAUAUCUACGACCUCGAUGUUGGAUUAGGGCACCCAGAUGGCGCAAAAGCUAUCAAUGGUUCGUUUGUUCAACGGUUAAAGC